rnacentral:rRNA from 1 species
ACGUAGGGUGCGAGCGUUAAUCGGAAUUACUGGGCGUAAAGCGUGCGCAGGCCGUUUGGUAAGACAGAUGUGAAAUCCCCGGGCUUAACCUGGGAACUGCAUUUGUGACUGCCAGACUAGAGUGUAGCAGAGGGGGGUAGAAUUCCACGUGUAGCAGUGAAAUGCGUAGAGAUGUGGAGGAAUACCGAUGGCGAAGGCAGCCCCCUGGGCUAACACUGACGCUCAUGCACGAAAGCGUGGGGAGCAAACAGGAUUAGAUACCCUGGUAGUCCACGCCCUAAACGAUGUCAACUAGGUGUUGGGGAAGGAGACUUCUUUAGUACCGCAGCUAACGCGUGAAGUUGACCGCCUGGGGAGUACGGUCGCAAGAUUA